rnacentral:rRNA from 1 species
AUUGAACGCUGGCGGCAGGCCUAACACAUGCAAGUCGAGCGGAUGAAGGGAGCUUGCUCCUGGACUCAGCGGCGGACGGGUGAGUAAUGCCUAGGAAUCUGCCUGGUAGUGGGGGAUAACGUCCGGAAACGGGCGCUAAUACCGCAUACGUCCUGAGGGAGAAAGUGGGGGAUCUUCGGACCUCACGCUAUCAGAUGAGCCUAGGUCGGAUUAGCUAGUUGGUGGGGUAAAGGCCUACCAAGGCGACGAUCCGUAACUGGUCUGAGAGGAUGAUCAGUCACACUGGAACUGAGACACGGUCCAGACUCCUACGGGAGGCAGCAGUGGGGAAUAUUGGACAAUGGGCGAAAGCCUGAUCCAGCCAUGCCGCGUGUGUGAAGAAGGUCUUCGGAUUGUAAAGCACUUGAAGUUGGGAGGAAGGGCAGUAAGUUAAUACCUUGCUGUUUUGACGUUACCAACAGAAUAAGCACCGGCU